AUGGGACUAAUGAAAAAUAGACUCUAAGUAUCUCUUCCCACGUGGCAGAUAAUUAAUGGUUUUUUAUAUUUGAACUCAUCCUACGAGAAUAAUCCUUAGAACACCUGAUUAUUAAUAUAAAGUCAACAUUCAUUAUUCUCAUUCAUCAAAUUCUUAGAUCCACCAUAAACUGCCGUUAAACUCUUCGUCGCACCGCUGAAAAGGAUGCCGUCAGGCCGUUGAGACAAAUGAAGGAUGCAUUGGGUAUUGGUUUGGUGAUAAUGCUAGCGAUGAGAUGAAGCAACUCUAAACGUCUCUAUGAGGUAUGUUUUGUUAUUGUUGGCUAGCCUAAUUGUUGUUAGUUAUGAUUUUCUUUCAUAACUAGCAAACUCUAUAACAAUUACAGAGGAUAAAAAAUCCAAUAAUAUAUUAAUUUAUUGUCUCUACGUAGAACUUGUUAUAUGGGUUGAAUCCAACAACUUCACAUUAUUAUAUAA